rnacentral:rRNA from 1 species
GUCUGAUCCAGCCAUUCCGCGUGCAGGAUGAAGGCCUUCGGGUUGUAAACUGCUUUUGUACGGAACGAAAAGGUUUCUAUUAAUACUAGGAGCUCAUGACGGUACCGUAAGAAUAAGCACCGGCUAACUACGUGCCAGCAGCCGCGGUAAUACGUAGGGUGCAAGCGUUAAUCGGAAUUACUGGGCGUAAAGCGUGCGCAGGCGGUUAUAUAAGACAGAUGUGAAAUCCCCGGGCUCAACCUGGGAACUGCAUUUGUGACUGUAUAACUAGAGUACGGUAAAGGGGGAUGGAAUUCCGCGUGUAGCAGUGAAAUGCGUAAAUAUGCGGAGGAACACCGAUGGCGAAGGCAAUCCCCUGGACCUGUACUGACGCUCAUGCACGAAAGCGUGGGGAGCAAACAGGAUUAGAUACCCUGGUAGUCCACGCCCUAAACGAUGUCAACUGGUUGUUGGGUCUUCACUGACUCAUUAACGAAGCUAACGCGUGAAGUUGACCGCCUGGGGAGUACGGCCGCAAGGUUGAAACUCAAA